AGCAGCCGCGGUAAUACGGGGGGUGCAAGCGUUAAUCGGAAUUAUUGGGCGUAAAGCGCGCGCAGGCGGUUCACAUAGUCGGGUGGUUAAGCUCGGGGCUCAACCCCGAGUCACACCGGAAACUGGUGGACUUGAGUGCAGAAGAGGAGAGUGGAAUUCCACGUGUAGCGGUUAAAUGCGUAGAGAUGUGGAGGAACACCAGUGGCGAAGGCGACUCUCUGGACUGUAACUGACGCUGAGGCGCGAAAGCGUGGGGAGCAAA
rnacentral:rRNA from 1 species